rnacentral:rRNA from 1 species
AGCUCCAUUAGCGUAUAUUAAAGUUGUUGCAGUUAAAAAGCUCGUAGUUGGAUUUCGGUGUGGGCCAGUCGGUCGGCCGCAAGGCCUGUUACUGACUGGUUCGCUCUUCUUCUCAAAGACUGCACGUGCCCUUCGCUGGGCGUGUGUAUUGGAUUUGAGACGUUUACUUUGAAAAAAUUAGAGUGUUCAAGGCAGGCUUUGAGGCUUGAAUACAUGAGCAUGGAAUAAUGGAAUAGGACCUCGGUCCCUAUUUCGUUGGUUUUACGGACCGAAGUAAUGAUUAAGAGGGACAAUUGGGGGCAUCCGUAUUUCGUAGUCAGAGGUGAAAUUCUUGGACCUACGAAAGACGAACAACUGCGAAAGCAUUUGCCAAGAGUGUUUUCAUUA